UGAUCGGGACCCCCGGCGUUUGGAAGCA
rnacentral:sRNA from 1 species